UACGGGGGGGGCAAGCGUUGUUCGGAAUUACUGGGCGUAAAGGGCGCGUAGGUGGCCAACUAAGUCAGACGUGAAAUCCCUCGGCUUAACCGGGGAAUGGCGUCCGAUACUGGUCGGCUCGAGUGUGGGAGAGGGAUGCGGAAUUCCAGGUGUAGCGGUGAAAUGCGUAGAUAUCUGGAGGAACACCGGUGGCGAAGGCGGCAUCCUGGACUACUACUGACGCUGAGGAGCGAAAGCCAGGGGAGCAAACGGG
rnacentral:rRNA from 1 species